CGGAGUAAGGCGUGCCGCUGCAAACUGGCCUCUGGGCCGGGGGCGAGCAGCCCCCGGGAGGCCGAGUGCAUCUGUUGGACCGUGCGAGGAGAAGAAAAAAAAUAUCGGCCAGAGGAGAGGAACUAACCGAACAUUCUUCCUCCCUACCUUAUAGAGGGGAGUGGUCAUCUACACUAAAGCAAAGUGUUAGGCGCGUCCGUGCGAAGAGACCACCAAACAGGCUUUGUGUUCCUUAUCACAGGAAGAAAAUUUUCCUUGACCUUUAGGUGCUUUUAUAUUCAUCUCAAAAACAAAAUUCUGAACUCAGGACUUGGCAAACCACCGCUGAAACUUCACUUCUACACAGAGGCUUUCUUUCCCAGAAACCCAGACCAGAUGGAGUUUCACUCUGUCGCCCAGGCUGGAGUGCAGUGGCACGAUCUCGGCUGACUGCAGCCUCUACCUGCUGGGUUCAAGCAAUUCUUCUGCCUCAGGUUCCUGAGUAGCUGGGAUUACAGCCAAAGCUGGACUGUACUGCUGCCAUCUCGGCUCACUGCAACCUCCCUGCCUGAUUCUCCUGCCUCAGCCUGCCGAGUGCCUGCGAUUGCAGGCACGCGCCGCCACACUUGACAGGUUUUCAUAUUUUUUUGGUGGAGACGGGGUUUCGCUGUGUUGGCUGGGCUGGUCUCCAGCUCCUAACCGCGAGUGAUCCACCAGCCUCGGCCUCCCAGGGUGCCGGGAUUGCAGACGGAGUCUCGUCUCGUUCACUCAGUGCUCAAUGGUGCCCAGGCUGG
rnacentral:lncRNA from 1 species